rnacentral:rRNA from 1 species
GACGAACGCUGGCGGCGUGCUUAACACAUGCAAGUCGAACGAUGAAGCCCUUUCGGGGGUGGAUUAGUGGCGAACGGGUGAGUAACACGUGGGUAACCUGCCCUGUACCCUGGGAUAAGCCUUGGAAACGAGGUCUAAUACCGGAUAUGACCUGCUCUCGCAUGGGGGUGGGUGGAAAGUUUUGGCGGUGCAGGAUGGACCCGCGGCCUAUCAGCUUGUUGGUGGGGGUGAUGGCCUACCAAGGCGACGACGGUAGCCGGCCUGAGAGGGCGACCGGCCACACUGGGACUGAGACACGGCCCAGACUCCUACGGGAGGCAGCAGUGGGGAAUAUUGCACAAUGGGCGAAAGCCUGAUGCAGCGACGCCG